rnacentral:rRNA from 1 species
UACGAAGGGGGCUAGCGUUGUUCGGAAUUACUGGGCGUAAAGCGUGCGCAGGCGGCUUCUCAAGUCAGGGGUGAAAGCCCAGAGCUCAACUCUGGAAUUGCCUUUGAGACUGAGUGGCUUGAGUACGAGAGAGGUGAGUGGAAUUCCCAGUGUAGAGGUGAAAUUCGUAGAUAUUGGGAAGAAACACCUGUGGCGAAAGCGGCUCACUGGACCACAACUGACGCUGAUGGCACGAAAAGCUAGGGGAGCAAAACAGG